CGAGUAUCUACAGUUAGUGAAUUUGUUCAAACGACCACCAAACGCAGAACAUCGUCAGUCUCUAAUUCCACUUUCCAUCUCACUCAGCUGCAAUUUCACCACAGUAAAAGUGAUGUCAGUGCAAUGUACCAGGAAGAAUGGUUUGACACACUCAGUUUACUGGAGUCUGACUCCGAUGAUGACUGUAGUAGCCUUCAUGGAGAAUUCAGCAACUAUUAUUAGGCUCUCCAUACAAAAAGGAAGAAACAAAUGAAUUUUGUGAGUAACCUUUUAUGCAAGCAAUCAUCCCAUCUCUUAUUUUUGACAUAAGUUCAAACAGGUGCAUCAGCAACAAAAUAUCUUUAUCGCCCUAGAGC